UUUGAGGCUGCUUACGAUAAACGGGCAUCAAAAAUUUGUCAUCCGCUUUGUUCGUAAUAUAGCAAUGGUAUUCGAACAAGUCCUUUGGGCCUGUGGUGUUAUUUUGCAAACGGAUUUAAAACAUCUUCUAUAGCUGCUGCGUGACAGCAACAGUCUAUUAGGUUCAUAAAGUGGUGUUGUAUCGAGUCAAAAACAGUUUUAUCGUAGCCUUGCAUCGCUUAUUGCACAUGCAAAAAUAUACACCCACACAAGGCAUGAAAUACAGCCGGAGAGCAUUUGAGGUUAUGAAUACCCGACAUCGAUCUGACGCAGGCUGUAAUUUUAAAGGAACGUUAUGGCUUGGAAUUGUCAACUCAAAUACCAGGGUUCAAACACAAAAAUGAGCGUCUUCCGAGUUAAAAUAGGGUCAUCAGCAGUUUUAUGAUGUUUUGCUAAAAAAUUCCUGGUUCGCAAUCAACACUUGAUUGAAAUGAUUCAUUGCGGUCGAGUAUAGAGGUUAACUGUACUAAACCAGACCCGAGCAUGACGUCGGUGGAUGCAUUCUAUACGUAUUUGAAAUGCUAUAGUAAACGCUUGUGUUAAAAAUAUGCCAAACUGCAUCAAUGAGUUGGCCAAAAUGAGUAUCUCGUGCGCUCAACAAAAAGCUGCUCGCGUUCGGGAUGCUGAAAAAAACUUCUCUGCGAUUCAUGCAUAUGACGAAUUGACUGAAAUAACAGCAACGUAGAGUUAAAGAAUAUAUUACAAGACAUGUAAUUACCGUCAAAAAUGGUCACAUAGACGGAUUGUGUAUGCUUGUUUCCUCUGGUUUUUUCUAUAGCAAAAAAAAACAAGGUUACCCAGUAGAAGAAAAUGAGGCCAGUAUUUGAGAGGAAUAAACACGAGAUUUUCCCAAACAGCCAUGCGUUCAGCUUACAGCAUUGCGUUUUAGAUGGAUGCUUGGUCUUUAACUUUUUCUGCUAACAACAAAUAGGCCCGAAUGAGGUUUGACAAGUAGGUAAUCAUUAGCGAAUCUUGAAUCGAAUUGGCAAAUAUUGUAUCGAAAGACUGGCUUCGAGUUGGGAUCAGAGAAAGUGUGUAUUGUAAAAAGCGUGCCAAUUCGGAAUCAAAUGGGAUCUUUCCAUUGAUCAUGAGGUCGAUGUGAUCGAUGAUGCGCUGCAUUAUGCUGUAAACUCUAUCUAAGGUGAUUUCUAUAUUCGCCAGAUCGGAAAGAGUGUUUGGUUUUUUACUUCUGCUUUGCUGCAUAAAAGUGUUGAUCGCCACCAGGUCGAUUUUAGAAACAAGAUAGUUGUUCUGAAUAGGCAUAUAUUGCUUCUGUACCGGCUCCCUAUUACCGAAUUCAAUAGACAUGCAAUAGUAUGUAUUAACACUUAGGUGUCCUGAAAGCAGAUCAGUUUCAACGACAAGAUGAACUGGUGGCAAGGUCAUCUCUCUAGAUAUGAGUUCGUCGAUCGAAAUAUUCGAAGGACGUAUAGGGGACGUAGAGUAGUAUCCGACAACUUUAGAAUCCGGGUUUGUUCUCUUGCUUAGACUCACCAUGUUUUUGUGAAAUUCAUGGUUCAUGAGCAACUGUUCGAGUCACCAUUCAAAAAAAAUUAUCCAUUAGUCAUAUAGAAACAUUGCUUAGGUCUGAA